UGGGGAGGACAAGAUCGAAAUAAUUAACAUAGAUUGUGUAGAAUGAAACAUGGCAAGGUUAAAUUCGUUGAAUAAUGAUUUUAGUUUUUUUUUUAAUUAUUAUGUUUAGUUAUGUUGUUAAUUAUAGUAGCGGCACACGAGUAACUUGCGUAUUGUGGGAAUAAUAUGCCGAUGAACUCAAAAUGUUUAUGGAAAACAGUUUAAGUAAAAAUAAAGAGCCAAUAAUAAUAGCUUGACAAUUUGUGUAUUGAAACCUGCUUUGGUGCAUAACAUUAUCUAUGCCUCCUUAACUUCAUCUCAACUUUGAAAUACAUAUCAAGUUCUCAAGUUAACUAAGAAAAUGGUAUUUUAUUCU
rnacentral:lncRNA from 1 species